rnacentral:rRNA from 1 species
UACGUAGGGGGCAAGCGUUGUCCGGAUUUAUUGGGCGUAAAGAGCGUGUAGGCGGCUUUGCAAGUCCGUUGUGAAAACUCGAGGCUCAACCUCGAGACGCCGGUGGAAACUGCAAAGCUAGAGUCCGGAAGAGGAGAGUGGAAUUCCUGGUGUAGCGGUGAAAUGCGCAGAUAUCAGGAGGAACACCCAUGGCGAAGGCAGCAAACUGGGCAUCAACUGACGCUGAGGCGCGAAAGCGUGGGUAGCAAACAGG